ensembl:snoRNA
ACCGAGACUAGUGUCACGUCUAGACAUUGCCCAUUGUCAUAGUUGUGCUUGAGUACUCGGAAAGUAACAACUAAUCUCGGUUUACUGACUGUCACUACUUUCAGGUCAGUCAGUCAGUCACUGGGUUAGUAACAGAA